rnacentral:other from 1 species
CAUUGUGCAGUUCUGUACAUGCCGGUAAGAAGUGAGUUGUCGAGGAGGGGGCAGGAAGCUUCUUGCUUUUAUGGCUCGUGUGAUUCGUUUUUAAUGAAGGUUUUUUUAAUAUGGCAACUGGUACCGUUAAGUGGUUCAAUGACUCCAAAGGUUUUGGCUUCAUCACUCCUGAUGAUGGCGGUGAGGAUUUGUUCGCGCACUUUUCCGCUAUUAACAUGAACGGCUUCAAGACCCUGAAAGAAGGUCAAAAAGUGCAGUUCGAAGUCACGCAAGGCCCUAAAGGCAAGCAAGCUUCCAACAUCCAAUCCAGCUAACCCUGGCCUCGGAUCAGCAAAAGCCCCGCCCUGCGGGGUUUUUUUU